GCUCGAUGAGUAGGGCGGGACACGUGGUAUCCUGUCUGAAUAUGGGGGGACCAUCCUCCAAGGCUAAAUACUCCUGACUGACCGAUAGUGAACCAGUACCGUGAGGGAAAGGCGAAAAGAACCCCGGCGAGGGGAGUGAAAAAGAACCUGAAACCGUGUACGUACAAGCAGUGGGAGCCUCUUAAUGGGGUGACUGCGUACCUUUUGUAUAAUGGGUCAGCGACUUAUAUUCUGUAGCAAGGUUAACCGAAUAGGGGAGCCGAAGGGAAACCGAGUCUUAACUGGGCGUUAAGUUGCAGGGUAUAGACCCGAAACCCGGUGAUCUAGCCAUGGGCAGGUUGAAGGUUGGGUAACACUAACUGGAGGACCGAACCGACUAAUGUUGAAAAAUUAGCGGAUGACUUGUGGCUGGGGGUGAAAGGCCAAUCAAACCGGGAGAUAGCUGGUUCUCCCCGAAAGCUAUUUAGGUAGCGCCUCGUGAAUUCAUCUCCGGGGGUAGAGCACUGUUUCGGCAAGGGGGUCAUCCCGACUUACCAACCCGAUGCAAACUGCGAAUACCGGAGAAUGUUAUCACGGGAGACACACGGCGGGUGCUAACGUCCGUCGUGAAGAGGGAAACAACCCAGACCGCCAGCUAAGGUCCCAAAGUCAUGGUUAAGUGGGAAACGAUGUGGGAAGGCCCAGACAGCCAGGAUGUUGGCUUAGAAGCAGCCAUCAUUUAAAGAAAGCGUAAUAGCUCACUGGUCGAGUCGGCCUGCGCGGAAGAUGUAACGGGGCUAAACCAUGCACCGAAGCUGCGGCAGCGACACUAUGUGUUGUUGGGUAGGGGAGCGUUCUGUAAGCCUGUGAAGGUGGCCUGUGAGGGUUGCUGGAGGUAUCAGAAGUGCGAAUGCUGACAUAAGUAACGAUAAAGCGGGUGAAAAGCCCGCUCGCCGGAAGACCAAGGGUUCCUGUCCAACGUUAAUCGGGGCAGGGUGAGUCGACCCCUAAGGCGAGGCCGAAAGGCGUAGUCGAUGGGAAACAGGUUAAUAUUCCUGUACUUGGUGUUACUGCGAAGGGGGGACGGAGAAGGCUAUGUUGGCCGGGCGACGGUUGUCCCGGUUUAAGCGUGUAGGCUGGUUUUCCAGGCAAAUCCGGAAAAUCAAGGCUGAGGCGUGAUGACGAGGCACUACGGUGCUGAAGCGACAAAUGCCCUGCUUCCAGGAAAAGCCUCUAAGCAUCAGGUAACAUCAAAUCGUACCCCAAACCGACACAGGUGGUCAGGUAGAGAAUACCAAGGCGCUUGAGAGAACUCGGGUGAAGGAACUAGGCAAAAUGGUGCCGUAACUUCGGGAGAAGGCACGCUGAUAUGUAGGUGAAGCGACUUGCUCGUGGAGCUGAAAUCAGUCGAAGAUACCAGCUGGCUGCAACUGUUUAUUAAAAACACAGCACUGUGCAAACACGAAAGUGGACGUAUACGGUGUGACGCCUGCCCGGUGCCGGAAGGUUAAUUGAUGGGGUUAGCGGUAACGCGAAGCUCUUGAUCGAAGCCCCGGUAAACGGCGGCCGUAACUAUAACGGUCCUAAGGUAGCGAAAUUCCUUGUCGGGUAAGUUCCGACCUGCACGAAUGGCGUAAUGAUGGCCAGGCUGUCUCCACCCGAGACUCAGUGAAAUUGAACUCGCUGUGAAGAUGCAGUGUACCCGCGGCAAGACGGAAAGACCCCGUGAACCUUUACUAUAGCUUGACACUGAACAUUGAGCCUUGAUGUGUAGGAUAGGUGGGAGGCUUUGAAGUGUGGACGCCAGUCUGCAUGGAGCCGACCUUGAAAUACCACCCUUUAAUGUUUGAUGUUCUAACGUGGGCCCCUUACCGGGGUUGCGGACAGUGUCUGGUGGGUAGUUUGACUGGGGCGGUCUCCUCCUAAAGAGUAACGGAGGAGCACGAAGGUUGGCUAAUCCUGGUCGGACAUCAGGAGGUUAGUGCAAUGGCAUAAGCCAGCUUGACUGCGAGCGUGACGGCGCGAGCAGGUGCGAAAGCAGGUCAUAGUGAUCCGGUGGUUCUGAAUGGAAGGGCCAUCGCUCAACGGAUAAAAGGUACUCCGGGGAUAACAGGCUGAUACCGCCCAAGAGUUCAUAUCGACGGCGGUGUUUGGCACCUCGAUGUCGGCUCAUCACAUCCUGGGGCUGAAGUAGGUCCCAAGGGUAUGGCUGUUCGCCAUUUAAAGUGGUACGCGAGCUGGGUUUAGAACGUCGUGAGACAGUUCGGUCCCUAUCUGCCGUGGGCGCUGGAGAACUGAGGGGGGCUGCUCCUAGUACGAGAGGACCGGAGUGGACGCAUCACUGGUGUUCGGGUUGUCAUGCCAAUGGCACUGCCCGGUAGCUAAAUGCGGAAGAGAUAAGUGCUGAAAGCAUCUAAGCACGAAACUUGCCCCGAGAUGAGUUCUCCCUGACUCCUUGAGAGUCCUGAAGGAACGUUGAAGACGACGACGUUGAUAGGCCGGGUGUGUAAGCGCAGCGAUGCGUUGAGCUAACCGGUACUAAUGAACCGUGAGGCUUAACCUUACAACGCCGAAG
rnacentral:rRNA from 1 species